AUAUCAAUAAGCGGAGGAAAAGAAACCAACAGGGAUUGCCCUAGUAACGGCGAGUGAAGCGGCAACAGCUCAAAUUUGAAAUCUGGCUCUUUCAGAGUCCGAGUUGUAAUUUGCAGAGGGCGCUUUGGCGUUGGCAGCGGUCCAAGUUCCUUGGAACAGGACGUCACAGAGGGUGAGAAUCCCGUACGUGGUCGCUGGCCUUCGCCGUGUAAAGCCCCUUCGACGAGUCGAGUUGUUUGGGAAUGCAGCUCUAAAUGGGAGGUAAAUUUCUUCUAAAGCUAAAUACUGGCCAGAGACCGAUAGCGCACAAGUAGAGUGAUCGAAAGAUGAAAAGCACUUUGGAAAGAGAGUCAAACAGCAC
rnacentral:rRNA from 1 species